UACGUAGGGGGCUAGCGUUGUUCGGAAUCACUGGGCGUAAAGCGCACGUAGGCGGCUUUUUAAGUCAGGGGUGAAAUCCUGGAGCUCAACUCCAGAACUGCCUUUGAUACUGAGAAGCUUGAGUCCGGGAGAGGUGAGUGGAACUGCGAGUGUAGAGGUGAAAUUCGUAGAUAUUCGCAAGAACACCAGUGGCGAAGGCGGCUCACUGGCCCGGUACUGACGCUGAGGUGCGAAAGCGUGGGGAGCAAACAGG
rnacentral:rRNA from 1 species